rnacentral:rRNA from 1 species
AGAGUUUGAUCAUGGCUCAGAUUGAACGCUGGCGGCAGGCCUAACACAUGCAAGUCGAGCGGUAGCACAGAGAGCUUGCUCUCGGGUGACGAGCGGCGGACGGGUGAGUAAUGUCUGGGAAACUGCCUGAUGGAGGGGGAUAACUACUGGAAACGGUAGCUAAUACCGCAUAAUGUCGCAAGACCAAAGUGGGGGACCUUCGGGCCUCAUGCCAUCAGAUGUGCCCAGAUGGGAUUAGCUAGUAGGUGGGGUAACGGCUCACCUAGGCGACGAUCCCUAGCUGGUCUGAGAGGAUGACCAGCCACACUGGAACUGAGACACGGUCCAGACUCCUACGGGAGGCAGCAGUGGGGAAUAUUGCACAAUGGGCGCAAGCCUGAUGCAGCCAUGCCGCGUGUGUGAAGAAGGCCUUCGGGUUGUAAAGCACUUUCAGCGGGGAGGAAGGCGAUAAGGUUAAUAACCUUGGCGAUUGACGUUACCCGCAGAAGAAGCACCGGCUAACUCCGUGCCAGCAGCCGCGGUAAUACGGAGGGUGCAAGCGUUAAUCGGAAUUACUGGGCGUAAAGCGCACGCAGGCGGUCUGUCAAGUCGGAUGUGAAAUCCCCGGGCUCAACCUGGGAACUGCAUUCGAAACUGGCAGGCUAGAGUCUUGUAGAGGGGGGUAGAAUUCCAGGUGUAGCGGUGAAAUGCGUAGAGAUCUGGAGGAAUACCGGUGGCGAAGGCGGCCCCCUGGACAAAGACUGACGCUCAGGUGCGAAAGCGUGGGGAGCAAACAGGAUUAGAUACCCUGGUAGUCCACGCCGUAAACGAUGUCGAUUUGGAGGUUGUGCCCUUGAGGCGUGGCUUCCGGAGCUAACGCGUUAAAUCGACCGCCUGGGGAGUACGGCCGCAAGGUUAAAACUCAAAUGAAUUGACGGGGGCCCGCACAAGCGGUGGAGCAUGUGGUUUAAUUCGAUGCAACGCGAAGAACCUUACCUGGUCUUGACAUCCACAGAACUUUCCAGAGAUGGAUUGGUGCCUUCGGGAACUGUGAGACAGGUGCUGCAUGGCUGUCGUCAGCUCGUGUUGUGAAAUGUUGGGUUAAGUCCCGCAACGAGCGCAACCCUUAUCCUUUGUUGCCAGCGGU